GGGGGGGGGGGGGGGGGGGCCGGGUGCGGGCGGGGCGCGCGCACCGGCGGGGGGCUUGCUGCGCUGACGUUAGCGGCGGCCGGGUGAGUAACACGGGGCUCACCUACCUGUACGACUUGGCUACCUUCGGGGCACCGGCGCUCAUCCCGGGUAAUAUAUUUCACCGCAUGGUUCCAUAGUGACAGACGGUUUUGCUUUCACUUAUACAUGGAUCCGCGCCGCAUUAGCUAGUUGGUAAGGUAACGGCUUACCAAGGCAACGAUGCGUCGCCGACCUGAGAGGGUGGUCGGCCACACUGGAACUGAGACGCGGACAAGGCGCCUACGGGAGGCAGCAGUAGGGAAUCUUCCGCAAUGGGCGAAAGCCUGACGGAGCAACGCCGCGUGAGUGAUGAAGGUCUUCGGAUCGUAAAACUCUGUUAUUAGGGAAGAACAAAUGUGUAAGUAACUAUGCACGUCUUGACGGUACCGAAUCAGAAAGCCACGGCUAACUACGUG
rnacentral:rRNA from 1 species